CAGUCUACCCUUUCUCAGCUUGCAGCUCCAUGCUCCACCUCCAGAUUAUAGCAUCGGGUGUAAGGUUUUCCUUUUCUGUUUUCUUUUUCCCGAUUUGUUGAAUUUGUAUUUUAUUGUUUUCCUAUCACCCUUUGACGACAAGGUAGCAAUUGUGACGGCUUCCACUCAAGGCAUUGGCUCUUGAAGGCGCCUCCGUCGUCAUCUCCUCCCGCAAGCGGGUCACUCUCCGACACUCCGGAGGCGGUACAGUAGCGAGGAGGAUUCGGAUCCGGAGUACGGAGACAGGAGGCGGAAAACGAUGAGGAGGAGGAAGAAAGAUGAUGAUAGAGAAAAUAAGAGGAGGAAGAGAGAUAAGGAGAGGAAGAGAAGGAGGAGAGAGAGAUGAAGAAGAAGGAGAGAGGAAAGGUAGGAGCGGUGAUGAAUUCAUGGGGGAAGUAUGGGAUCAUCAGAGAAACUGAUAUGUGGAACAAACGACCAGAGUUCACAGCAUGGUUACUGGAAGUAAAACAGGUGAACUUGGAACAUCUGGCAAAUUGGGAAGAGAAACAGAUGUUCAAACAGUUCAUGGAAGAUCACAGUACAGCUAGCUUCCCGUUGAAAAACAACAUAACUGAAGGCCAUGCCUGCAGAGACUGAACCAUAACCGAAGCCCAUGCCUGCAUCAAUUGAUUGAAAAGCACCCUCCCCUCACUUUCUCAAUUAUUGGUUGGGAAUGCAAAAAUGGAUGAGCUGAGAAAAGGAGAGAUGUGAAUGUAGAUGCUGCAAAACCCUGCCCGAAAAAGGGAUGAAAGCCAGCAAUUCAACUUGCUACUGCGAUACACAGAUUGACAUAAAAAAAAACAGAGAGACAAUUAUGGAGUGCAUACUGAUGCUGCAUGCACUACCCAGUCUGCCAUCAACAGUGGUGUAAUACUUCAUUAGGUUAUUCUGGGACUUUGUCAACAGCGCAGAGUUCUCUUCACGGCGCAUCACUAUUCCGUGCAGCAUAGCUCGGUAGCAGUUUUAGAAUUAUAUUGGGGACUGUCCAGAUUUUGGUUUAGCUGCAGAUGAAGCAAGAUCAAGAGGUUAUAAAUUAGAGGUAUAAUUUAUUUUUUAUAUUUGAUGCAUCGUUGGAUUAAUGAAUACAGUAGGAACAUUGACUUGGUGUAUGUGUUUUCAUUCAUUUUUUAGAAUGGAAAACUGAAUUUUGUGUGUUUAUGACUCUGUAUAUACUCUGUACUUAUUUUAAUUACAGUAAAAGUGAUUGAAAAUAGCAUUAUUUGGUAGUAAGGAAAAUUAGGGUUUCAAUUAAAGGAUGGCCGGAGGAGGAGGAAGACCUUUGGAGCAAGCACCAACUAGGGCAGUUGUCGAUGUUUGUUUUGUUUUGGUUUUGGUUUCGAUCCACAUCGAAUAUUUCAUUCAUUUAAUGGAAAGGUUUCCUUUCACACGUAAUUGGGUUAAUUUCAUCUUAUGAAGUCACUUUCGGGUUUAUUAUGAAUGCAAAAUGAGGUAUUUUGAUUAAAUUUUAAUUGCACUCCUUGCAAUGGUUGACAAAGAGAAACAAAAGAGCUCUCUAUGAAGCUCUUGAGAAUAUGGUAUUAGGGUUCCUAUCUUUGCAUCUAACAGUAGGAUAAGAUCGCAUUUCAGAUAUAUGUACGUCGAAGGUUGUUGGAACAACUUGGCAUCCAUGCAAUAAUAAGCAAGAUGUCAAAUCGGACAAAGGCAAAGAUAAGAGUGGUGCUUCAGAUGACAACUCCCACGGAAGGCUUCUCUCAGCCUUGAAUUCCAGUGGGGGGUGACCGAUAUGAGCUGCUGGAGAUGACAAAUGUGCUCCCAAGGUGCACUGGAUUGUCCAUGCUUUUAGUUUUAUCAAAUAUGACAAGUUGAUAUACAUGUUUUCUUUGUUUUUUGACUCAUACAAAUGAAACUAAAUGUGAUUUUACAAGGUUGCUUUGAUUGUUGCCAAUUGAUUCUAAAGCAAUCUCCACUGUUGUCUUGCAUAUGAUCUUAAAUGCCAUCUCUGUAGCUACGAAUGUGCUAUACUUACUGUUAACGUGAUUCUUAAACCAUUUGUGCUAAUUGUACAAUGUCUUUUCAUGUCAA